rnacentral:rRNA from 1 species
GAUGAACGCUAGCGGGAGGCCUAACACAUGCAAGCCGAGCGGUAGAGUCUCUUCGGAGACUUGAGAGCGGCGCACGGGUGCGGAACACGUGUGCAACCUGCCUUUAUCUGGGGGAUAGCCUUUCGAAAGGAAGAUUAAUACCCCAUAAUAUACUGGAUGGCAUCAUCUGGUAUUGAAAACUCCGGUGGAUAGAGAUGGGCACGCGCAAGAUUAGAUAGUUGGUGAGGUAACGGCUCACCAAGUCAGCGAUCUUUAGGGGGCCUGAGAGGGUGAUCCCCCACACUGGUACUGAGACACGGACCAGACUCCUACGGGAGGCAGCAGUGAGGAAUAUUGGACAAUGGGGGAGAGCCUGAUCCAGCCAUCCCGCGUGAAGGACGACGGCCCUAUGGGUUGUAAACUUCUUUUGUAUAGGGAUAAACCUAGAUACGUGUAUCUAGCUGAAGGUACUAUACGAAUAAGCACCGGCUAACUCCGUG